UACAGAGGGUGCAAGCGUUGUUCGGAAUUAUUGGGCGUAAAGAGCGUGUAGGCGGCUUCACAGGUCCGCUGUGAAAACUCGAGGCUCAACCUCGAGCUGUCGGUGGAAACCGUGUGGCUAGAGUCCGGAAGAGGAGAGUGGAAUUCCCGGUGUAGCGGUGAAAUGCGCAGAUAUCGGGAAGAACACCCGUGGCGAAGGCGGCUCUCUGGGACGGUACUGACGCUGAGACGCGAAAGCGUGGGGAGCGAACAGG
rnacentral:rRNA from 1 species